rnacentral:rRNA from 1 species
AAACCUCAGAUCAGGCAAGGCUACCCGCUG